rnacentral:rRNA from 1 species
AACGAACGCUGGCGGCAUGCCUAACACAUGCAAGUCGAACGAGACCUUCGGGUCUAGUGGCGCACGGGUGCGUAACGCGUGGGAACCUGCCCUUAGGUUCGGAAUAACUCCCCGAAAGGGGUGCUAAUACCGGAUAAUGUCUUCGGACCAAAGAUUUAUCGCCUUUGGAUGGGCCCGCGUUGGAUUAGCUAGUUGGUAGGGUAAAAGCCUACCAAGGCGACGAUCCAUAGCUGGUCUGAGAGGAUGAUCAGCCACACUGGGACUGAGACACGGUCCAGACUCCUACGGGAGGCAGCAGUGGGGAAUAUUGGACAAUGGGCGAAAGCCUGAUCCGGCAAUGCCGCGUGAGUGAUGAAGGCCUUAGGGUUGUAAAGCUCUUUUACCCGGGAUGAUAAUGACAGUACCGGGAGAAUAAGCUCCGGCUAACUCCGUG